CCUGACCUCGGAUCAGUCACCCGCUGAACUAAGCAUA
rnacentral:rRNA from 1 species